rnacentral:tRNA from 1 species
ACUUAAAUAAUUUAAAUUAUAAAAUAUUGAUUUGUGGUAUCAAAUAUGUGAGAAAUUCAUUUUAGGUU